GGCUGGUCCUAGUGCAGUGGUGUCUACAAGUAAUUGAUCACAAUGAGUUACAGAUCUCUUUGUUCCUUCUCCACUCUCACUGCUUCACUUGACUAGUCUUUU
ensembl:Y_RNA Y_RNA Y RNA